rnacentral:rRNA from 1 species
GACGAACGCUGGCGGCGUGCUUAACACAUGCAAGUCGAACGGAAAGGCCCUGCUUUUGUGGGGUGCUCGAGUGGCGAACGGGUGAGUAACACGUGAGUAACCUGCCCUUGACUUUGGGAUAACUUCGGGAAACUGGGGCUAAUACCGGAUAGGAGCUCCUGCUGCAUGGUGGGGGUUGGAAAGUUUCGGCGAUUGGGGAUGGACUCGCGGCUUAUCAGCUUGUUGGUGGGGUAGUGGCUUACCAAGGCUUUGACGGGUAGCCGGCCUGAGAGGGUGACCGGCCACAUUGGGACUGAGAUACGGCCCAGACUCCUACGGGAGGCAGCAGUGGGGAAUAUUGCACAAUGGGCGGAAGCCUGAUGCAGCAACGCCGCGUGCGGGAUGACGGCCUUCGGGUUGUAAACCGCUUUCGCCUGUGACGAAGCGUGAGUGACGGUAAUGGGUAAAGAAGCACCGGCUAACUACGUG